GACGGAGGGUGCAAGCGUUGUUCGGAAUUACUGGGCGUAAAGGGCGCGUAGGCGGCCCGCUAAGUUCGAUGAGAAAUCCCCCGGCUCACCCGGGGAACUUCAUCGGAAACUGGUGGGCUCGAGUACCGGAGAGGAGGGUGGAAUUCCUGGUGUAGCGGUGAAAUGCGUAGAUAUCAGGAGGAACACCGGUGGCGAAGGCGGCCCUCUGGACGAGUACUGACGCUGAGGCGCGAAAGCGUGGGGAUCAAACAGG
rnacentral:rRNA from 1 species